ACCGUGGAAGAGCAAUUAGGGCUUCAAAGGAGGCGAGGUCCUGUUCUGUGAAGGCGAUCUUGGAUUCCCUCUGUGUCGCUGCUGAUUGAGGUCUCGGGUGAAUUGGGAAAGAACUCCAGCAGAGGUUGCUGUGAGUUUUCUGAUCCAGCAAGGUGAAGAUCUGUUUUGGUUCUUGCUGUGGUGUUUUUGGCUUCGGCAGACACCUCAUCCAGCCAGCUCAGUUUGGAUCGGCAGUCAUCCAUACCUCAGUGUACUUGAUACAGCACCUAGUUCAGCUGGGAAUUGAGGUUGAGGCCGUCAGGAGAGAUUCCAGUCGCUAGCCCCUUUAUCGCGAGGAUUUGCCUGUUGUCGGGAUCUGUUUUCUUUUUGCAUCUUAUGUACUUGUGAUGUGGGUUUUGUAUUGUGGACUUUAUGACGCACAUUGGGUUUACUACUUUUGUUUUCCGCUGCGAAUAUUUCAUUACUUCGUGGAUUUCGUUUCUUCGU